rnacentral:rRNA from 1 species
CCAGACUCCUACGGGAGGCAGCAGUGGGGAAUAUUGCACAAUGGGGGGAACCCUGAUGCAGCGACGCCGCGUGAGCGAUGAAGUAUUUCGGUAUGUAAAGCCCUGUCGGCAGGGAAGAAGCAAGACGGUACUUGACUAAGAAGCCCCGGCUAACUACGUGCCAGCAGCCGCGGUAAUACGUAGGGGGCGAGCGUUAUCCGGAUUCACUGGGUGUAAAGGGAGCGUAGACGGCCAUGCAAGCCAGGGGUGAAAGCCCGGGGCCCAACCCCGGGACUGCCCUUGGAACUGCAUGGCUGGAGUGCGGGAGGGGCAGGCGGAAUUCCUGGUGUAGCGGUGAAAUGCGUAGAUAUCAGGAGGAACACCGGUGGCGAAGGCGGCCUGCUGGACUGCAACUGACGUUGAGGCCCGAAAGCGUGGGGAGCAAACAGGAUUAGAUACCCCCGUAC